UACGUAGGUGACCAGCGUUGUCCGGAUUUACUGGGCGUAAAGAGCGCGCAGGCGGUCGUUCAAGUCGAGUGUGAAAGCCCCCGGCUCAACUGGGGAGGGUCAUUCGAUACUGAUCGACUCGAAGGCAGGAGAGGGAAGCGGAAUUCCCGGUGUAGUGGUGAAAUGCGUAGAUAUCGGGAGGAACACCAGUGGCGAAGGCGGCUUCCUGGCCUGUUCUUGACGCUGAGGCGCGAAAGCUAGGGGAGCGAAUGGG
rnacentral:rRNA from 1 species